ensembl:misc_RNA 7SK 7SK RNA
GGAUUUCAGGAUGAUUAGGCUAUGACAUUUAUCACCUCAAUGGUCUCCCAGGAUUGAUCUGGCGGGCGCUGUGGUGUCACCUUCCUGCAUCAUGGCUCUUAAGAGUGUCCCUCCUGAAGCUGCACAGGGUCAAAGAUGAAGAUGUUCCCCAACAGAGGAGAAGUGCUCUCCCAUUAACGGCACAAAAAAGCGCUGUGCUCCCCUGCUAAGACUUGCAUGCAGACUCGCUGAGUAUGAGUUGCUUUCAACAGAGAAGAUUCUGAAAUCUACACAUAAGUUUUUCCAUAAUGGUCCAUUUGCGUGAA